rnacentral:rRNA from 1 species
AGCGAACGCUGGCGGCAGGCCUAACACAUGCAAGUCGAACGAACCCUUCGGGGUUAGUGGCGGACGGGUGAGUAACACGUGGGAACGUGCCUUUAGGUUCGGAAUAACUCAGGGAAACUUGUGCUAAUACCGAAUGUGCCCUUCGGGGGAAAGAUUUAUCGCCUUUAGAGCGGCCCGCGUCUGAUUAGCUAGUUGGGGAGGUAAUGGCUCACCAAGGCUACGAUCAGUAGCUGGUCUGAGAGGAUGACCAGCCACAUUGGGACUGAGACACGGCCCAAACUCCUACGGGAGGCAGCAGUGGGGAAUCUUGAGCAAUGGGCGAAAGCCUGACGCAGCCAUGCCGCGUGGAUGAUGAAGGUCUUAGGAUUGUAAAAUCCUUUCACCGGUGAAGAUAAUGACUGUAGCCGGAGAAGAAGCCCCGGCUAACUUCGUGCCAGCCGCCGCCGUAAAAC